rnacentral:rRNA from 1 species
AUGANGGGGUAUNUUGCNGCAAUGGUCGCAAUCCUNNCGGANCNAUUCCGCNUGAGGGAGNAAGGCUCUUGGGUUGUAAACCUCUUUUNNACAGGGAAUAAGNACUNAAGGUACCUGAGGAAUCAGCAUCGGCUAANUCCNUGCCANCAGCCGCGGUAAUACGGAGGAUGCAAGCGUUAUCCGGAAUGAUUGGGCGUAAAGCGUCCGACAGGUGGUUUAUCAAGUCUGCUGUCAAAGAGUUUGGCUCAACCAAAUAAAGGCAGUGGAAACUGACAGACUGGAGUGCGGUAAGGGCAGAGGGAAUUCCUGGUGUAGCGGUGAAAUGCGUAGAGAUCAGGAAGNACACCGGUGGCGAAAGCGCUCUNCUGGGCCGNAACUGACACUGAGGGGCGAAAGCUAGGGGAGCGAAUGGGAUUAGAUUCCCC